GACGCAGGGGGCUAGCGUUGUUCGGAAUUACUGGGCGUAAAGCGCGUGUAGGCGGUUGCCCAAGUCGGGUGUGAAAGCCUUGAGCUCAACUCAAGAAAUGCACUCGGUACUGGGUGACUAGAGGACCGGAGAGGAUAGUGGAAUUCCCAGUGUAGUGGUGAAAUACGUAGAGAUUGGGAAGAACACCAGUGGCGAAGGCGGCUAUCUGGACGGUUUCUGACGCUAAGACGCGAAAGCGUGGGGAGCAAACAGG
rnacentral:rRNA from 1 species